CCUGCCUCUCUCUGCCCACGUCUUUCCCUCUCCUCUAAUCCCUCUUCUGUUCCCUUCACCUUCAGCCUGCGUUUCUUUGUCUCUUUCUGUUUCUCCACUUUCCUGGUUUAAUUCUGGCGUUCCCGGUGGUUUUCUUCCUUUCUCUUCCCCCCCCCCCCCCCCCCCGCCCCCCUGUAAUUUUAAGAUGGAGGAACGUUGUGUAAGGUUUGGAGUUUAAGAGGGAGCAAGAAACACUGAAACAGCGAGAAAGGCUGCAGUAUUAAACGGUCAUGUUAAAUGGGAACGAAGGGUGGACAUGGCAGGCAAACUCUGGCCAGACGCCAUGGAAGUUGGUGGCAUCCUCCAGAUUAAUUGAAUGACGUUGGAUGAAGCCUGUGCAGACCCCACUUUCCCAGUUUGCCCGGUCUCUUGAUAAUCUCGUGCUUCCCGGCACCCUCCAUCAGUGAGUCAAAUAACCACUCUGUAACUCCAGCGAUGCCAUUGUGGUGCUGAACAAUGUGUGGUAACUCAAUACAUCUGAACUUCCAGCAACAGACUUGUUUGGGUUUAAACUGCUGCACAGUGGCACAGCGGUUAGUGCUCCUGGGACAUAACUCCAGCAACCUGGGUUCAACCUUCACUUCCGGUGCUGCCUGUGUGGAGUUUGCAUGUUCUCCCUGUGACCUGAAUUCCUCCAGGUGGUCUGGUUUCCUCCCACAUCCCAAAGACGACUGGGUGUUCCUGGGGAAUAUCCUGGCUGUCUCAAAAUACAGCACAUUUGGUGUAAUCAGAAGAACUGAAAUCAGGAGGCAGGUUUUAUUCCCUCUUCUCCUGAGGUUCGGACUCUCACAGGGUUUCUUCCUCUCGUGGAGAUGAUGUCUCCCACGAGAAUUCUGAUGCCCUUCUCUGCUGAAGGUGGUGACCCACCCUGCCGUACGUUUCCAAUUCUCUCCUGAAGGUGUCGACUCCCACUGGGACUCCGGUCCACUUCUCACUGAAGGUGCCAUCUCUCACUGAGGUCUUCCAAUUCAUACAGUCCUCUGAGGUGAAAGACAACCUGUUUCCAUUCAAUUUCUCUGGGUUCUGAGCUGGCUGAAGAGCUCUAUGCCAGAUCUGCCGACAUUGUCACAGGUGGGGCAGGUGGUACUUGACAGAGCUGGUGCUGACACACAUGGUGACAAAAUAAUGGCUGGAUAAAGUAAAAUUGAUGUCCAUCUGGUUGUCUUCUAACGUACUGGUAGAGCAACGACGUGAUUGUUGAUUAACUACAGCAAUCAAUUAACCAAUGACAGAUGCAGGUAUGAG